rnacentral:rRNA from 2 species
UACGUAGGGGGCAAGCGUUGUCCGGAAUCAUUGGGCGUAAAGCGCGCGUAGGCGGCCUCGUAAGUCCGCUGUGAAAGUCAAAGGCUCAACCUUUGAAUGCCGGUGGAUACUGCGAGGCUAGAGUCCGGAAGAGGCGAGUGGAACUCCUGGUGUAGCGGUGGAAUGCGCAGAUAUCAGGAAGAACACCAACGGCGAAGGCAGCUCGCUAGGACGGUACUGACGCUAAGGCGCGAAAGCGUGGGGAGCAAACAGG